rnacentral:rRNA from 1 species
AGCUCGAUGAGUAGGGCGGGACACGUGGUAUCCUGUCUGAAUAUGGGGGGACCAUCCUCCAAGGCUAAAUACUCCUGACUGACCGAUAGUGAACCAGUACCGUGAGGGAAAGGCGAAAAGAACCCCGGCGAGGGGAGUGAAAAAGAACCUGAAACCGUGUACGUACAAGCAGUGGGAGCACGCUUAGGCGUGUGACUGCGUACCUUUUGUAUAAUGGGUCAGCGACUUAUAUUCUGUAGCAAGGUUAACCGAAUAGGGGAGCCGAAGGGAAACCGAGUCUUAACUGGGCGUUAAGUUGCAGGGUAUAGACCCGAAACCCGGUGAUCUAGCCAUGGGCAGGUUGAAGGUUGGGUAACACUAACUGGAGGACCGAACCGACUAAUGUUGAAAAAUUAGCGGAUGACUUGUGGCUGGGGGUGAAAGGCCAAUCAAACCGGGAGAUAGCUGGUUCUCCCCGAAAGCUAUUUAGGUAGCGCCUCGUGAAUUCAUCUCCGGGGGUAGAGCACUGUUUCGGCAAGGGGGUCAUCCCGACUUACCAACCCGAUGCAAACUGCGAAUACCGGAGAAUGUUAUCACGGGAGACACACGGCGGGUGCUAACGUCCGUCGUGAAGAGGGAAACAACCCAGACCGCCAGCUAAGGUCCCAAAGUCAUGGUUAAGUGGGAAACGAUGUGGGAAGGCCCAGACAGCCAGGAUGUUGGCUUAGAAGCAGCCAUCAUUUAAAGAAAGCGUAAUAGCUCACUGGUCGAGUCGGCCUGCGCGGAAGAUGUAACGGGGCUAAACCAUGCACCGAAGCUGCGGCAGCGACGCUUAUGCGUUGUUGGGUAGGGGAGCGUUCUGUAAGCCUGCGAAGGUGUGCUGUGAGGCAUGCUGGAGGUAUCAGAAGUGCGAAUGCUGACAUAAGUAACGAUAAAGCGGGUGAAAAGCCCGCUCGCCGGAAGACCAAGGGUUCCUGUCCAACGUUAAUCGGGGCAGGGUGAGUCGACCCCUAAGGCGAGGCCGAAAGGCGUAGUCGAUGGGAAACAGGUUAAUAUUCCUGUACUUGGUGUUACUGCGAAGGGGGGACGGAGAAGGCUAUGUUGGCCGGGCGACGGUUGUCCCGGUUUAAGCGUGUAGGCUGGUUUUCCAGGCAAAUCCGGAAAAUCAAGGCUGAGGCGUGAUGACGAGGCACUACGGUGCUGAAGCAACAAAUGCCCUGCUUCCAGGAAAAGCCUCUAAGCAUCAGGUAACAUCAAAUCGUACCCCAAACCGACACAGGUGGUCAGGUAGAGAAUACCAAGGCGCUUGAGAGAACUCGGGUGAAGGAACUAGGCAAAAUGGUGCCGUAACUUCGGGAGAAGGCACGCUGAUAUGUAGGUGAAGUCCCUCGCGGAUGGAGCUGAAAUCAGUCGAAGAUACCAGCUGGCUGCAACUGUUUAUUAAAAACACAGCACUGUGCAAACACGAAAGUGGACGUAUACGGUGUGACGCCUGCCCGGUGCCGGAAGGUUAAUUGAUGGGGUUAGCGCAAGCGAAGCUCUUGAUCGAAGCCCCGGUAAACGGCGGCCGUAACUAUAACGGUCCUAAGGUAGCGAAAUUCCUUGUCGGGUAAGUUCCGACCUGCACGAAUGGCGUAAUGAUGGCCAGGCUGUCUCCACCCGAGACUCAGUGAAAUUGAACUCGCUGUGAAGAUGCAGUGUACCCGCGGCAAGACGGAAAGACCCCGUGAACCUUUACUAUAGCUUGACACUGAACAUUGAGCCUUGAUGUGUAGGAUAGGUGGGAGGCUUUGAAGUGUGGACGCCAGUCUGCAUGGAGCCGACCUUGAAAUACCACCCUUUAAUGUUUGAUGUUCUAACGUGGACCCGUAAUCCGGGUUGCGGACAGUGUCUGGUGGGUAGUUUGACUGGGGCGGUCUCCUCCUAAAGAGUAACGGAGGAGCACGAAGGUUGGCUAAUCCUGGUCGGACAUCAGGAGGUUAGUGCAAUGGCAUAAGCCAGCUUGACUGCGAGCGUGACGGCGCGAGCAGGUGCGAAAGCAGGUCAUAGUGAUCCGGUGGUUCUGAAUGGAAGGGCCAUCGCUCAACGGAUAAAAGGUACUCCGGGGAUAACAGGCUGAUACCGCCCAAGAGUUCAUAUCGACGGCGGUGUUUGGCACCUCGAUGUCGGCUCAUCACAUCCUGGGGCUGAAGUAGGUCCCAAGGGUAUGGCUGUUCGCCAUUUAAAGUGGUACGCGAGCUGGGUUUAGAACGUCGUGAGACAGUUCGGUCCCUAUCUGCCGUGGGCGCUGGAGAACUGAGGGGGGCUGCUCCUAGUACGAGAGGACCGGAGUGGACGCAUCACUGGUGUUCGGGUUGUCAUGCCAAUGGCACUGCCCGGUAGCUAAAUGCGGAAGAGAUAAGUGCUGAAAGCAUCUAAGCACGAAACUUGCC